UACGAAGGGGGCUAGCGUUGCUCGGAAUCACUGGGCGUAAAGGGCGCGUAGGCGGCCAUUCAAGUCAGAGGUGAAAGCCCAAGGCUCAACCUUGGAACUGCCUUUGAUACUGUUUGGCUUGAGACCGGUAGAGGUAAGUGGAACUGCGAGUGUAGAGGUGAAAUUCGUAGAUAUUCGCAAGAACACCAGUGGCGAAGGCGGCUUACUGGACCGGUUCUGACGCUGAGGCGCGACAGCGUGGGGAGCAAACAGG
rnacentral:rRNA from 1 species